GGCCCUCUGAGUUGUUCGUCAUGGGGUCGGUGGACCGAGGAACCAAUGUUGCUCUCUCGGGGUCUUAACCGUCGUCUUGCGGUGUGCAUGCCUCCGCGUUGAGGAAGCCUAAAGCGAGCGCAAGACCCCACCCUUUGCGCUCAGGUUCCGUGAGCGCCACCGACGUCAGACGGCAGCCCGGAGGGCUU
rnacentral:other from 1 species